GAUGAACGCUGGCGGCGUGCCUAAUACAUGCAAGUCGAGCGAACAGACGAGGAGCUUGCUCCUCUGACGUUAGCGGCGGACGGGUGAGUAACACGUGGAUACCCUACCUAUAAGACUGGGAUACCUUCGGGAACCCGGAGCUAAUACCGGAUAAUAUAUUGAACCGCAUGGUUCAAUAGUGAAAGACGGUUUUGCUGUCACUUAUAGAUGGAUCCGCGCCGCAUUAGCUAGUUGGUAAGGUAACGGCUUACCAAGGCUACGAUGCGUAGCCGACCUGAGAGGGUGAUCGGCCACACUGGAACUGAGACACGGUCCAGACUCCUACGGGAGGCAGCAGUAGGGAAUCUUCCGCAAUGGGCGAAAGCCUGACGGAGCAACGCCGCGUGAGUGAUGAAGGUCUUCGGAUCGUAAAACUCUGUUAGUAGGGAAGAACAAAUGUGUAAGUAACUAUGCACGUCUUGACGGUACCUAAUCAGAAAGCCACGGCUAACUACGUG
rnacentral:rRNA from 1 species